UACACCUUAUAAAUACGUUUUUUUCAUGUUUUUUUUUUGUUUAUUCUUCAUUAUGUUUAAUACGUACUAGGCUAAUGGUACACAUUAAAUUAUUGGCAGUCACAUACUGGUAGUACAAUUGAAAUAAUGACCAUUUAAUAUUAACAUGACUUUAAACCAGCAUGGGCUGAAAGAAAACAGUAUUGGCCUUGUUCCUGUCAACUCAGAGAGCAUCUAUGUAUGUAGAGUUCAUAUGCCAAUGUGUAGAAAGAGCUUUAAUUUACUCUCUCCUAAGUUUAGGCAGACUUUUGUUAGAUGCUUUUUUUUAAAAAUAUUUUGUCCUCACAGCUUGCCUCCCUUGUUCUUGUUUACUGAUGCAGCAGAUAUUUACAGUCAAAAUAUUUCCAAUGUAUUUUCAACAUAAGCUCUCACUUCUCUUUGUACAUGUAUAAUGAAUCAAUGUUAAACUUUAUAAAUAUUCAAUUCUUCUAUCAGAUUUUCUGUAUUGAGACUAUAGAAUUAAAAAAAAACAUUUUCUUAAAAUUGCUUUUGUAUGCCAUGUAUAGUGCAUCUUGAUGCUGCUGUGGACCUGUGGGAUAUCUGACAGGGAUUUCAUGUUGCCUUUAUACAGUCAGCAAAAAAAAAGUUACAUUAAUGUGAAUGGAAAAGCCACAACUACUAGCCAAUGUAGUGAUUAAAUAAAAAAAAAAAAACAC